rnacentral:rRNA from 1 species
CCUACGGGAGGCAGCAGUGAGGAAUAUUGGUCAAUGGGCGUAAGCCUGAACCAGCCAAGUCGCGUGAGGGAUGAAGGUUCUAUGGAUCGUAAACCUCUUUUAUAAGGGAAUAAAGUGUGGGACGUGUCCUGUUUUGUAUGUACCUUAUGAAUAAGGAUCGGCUAACUCCGUGCCAGCAGCCGCGGUAAUACGGAGGAUCCGAGCGUUAUCCGGAUUUAUUGGGUUUAAAGGGUGAGGAGGCGGCCUUUUAAGUCAGCGGUGAAAGUUUGUGGCUCAACCAUAGAAUUGCCGUUGAAACUGGGAGGCUUGAGUGUGUUUGAGGCAGGCGGAAUGCGUGGUGUAGCGGUGAAAUGCUUAGAUAUCACGCAGAACCCCGAUGGCGAAGGCAGCCUGCCAAGCCAUGACUGACGCUGAUGCACGAAAGCGUGGGGAUCAAACAGGAUUAGAUACCCUUGUAGUC